AGACUUUAUACUUUAAUGGUCAUAACAAUUUUAUUACUUAGGGAGGACGUAACUUAAAUUGUGGUACAAUUUUUUUUUUCAAAAAAAAAAAUUGUAUGAGGAAUGGAAUAUAAUUUAAUAUAUUUAAAAUAUAAUAACAUAUGAUUUUAGAUUUUUUUUUUCUAUCACAACGUAAUAUGUAAUAACAUAAUCUUUUAGUAUUGAUGUUACACAUAUCUUGUUUGUGGUUGAAAGAUUGAACAUGAUUCUUAAUCAAACAUGAAGAAGUAAUUAAGGUUGGACGAAAUGAUUAUAAUUGAACCAAUAAUCAACUUAAACCAAUCCAAACUAAUUCCGUUCAGUUCAAUUUUGACAUUUAAUUUUAGUUUGAUUUCAAGAACUUUUGAUCAAUUAGUUUUCGUUCAGGACAAAAUUUAAAAUAUAAACAAAAAAUUAAUAUUUGAAUUAAAGUUGGACCGAAUCCAAACAUUUCAAUUUUUAGAAUUUAAUAAGUUCAAAAUCAAAACUAAAUUUACCAACAUCAGAAUUAACAUUUUAUUUAUCGAAAUUAAACUAAUGAAAAUGCAUUAUUACGUAUAUGUAGAUAAUGAAAAGUUUUCAUGAAAUAGUAAUAAAUAAUAAUAAUUACGUUAUUAAUCCAUACCAUAUUCCUCAAAUUUCCUGUGAUCAAAUUUGUCCACAGCCAGCUAAGAAUGAAGUUUAGGUUAAUUUGUACAUGCUACAUUUGCAUUAUUUUCUAAUCUUCCCAAAUACACACCAAUUGAUUUUAUUAUUAUUUUUUGGGAAGUACAACUAGGAGUGUUGUUAUGAAGAAAGUUAGUUGUCAUGGGCAAAGCAAAAUUAUUAAUUAUCCAAAACAGGAGAAUGAAAAUGAAUGAAUGAAUUUACUCGCGGGGAAGGCUGGAAGAGUGGCUGAUUCGUAAUUAAUGAGAGUGGUGGGGGCCAAUUAUAGGUCCCAGCAUUCUGCAGAGGAAGCUAAAACAACAGUCAAAGGGCAGACCUGGAAAAGCCGGAAAAACAGAAAAACAUUGGGCUUUGCGCUGAGACAUACAUAUUUUAUGAAUUAUGAGUUUGGAUAAUUUAACUUAAAUUUUUUUAUACAAAUUUUAAGUCAUUAAAUACGAUUUUAACUUUUAAUAUUCAUCGGGUAAUUUUUAAAAACUUUUCCUGAGGUUUGGGUUUAUUAUAAAUAGAUGACGAGAAUUUAUUUAUUUAUAAAAAAUCCUCUACUGUCAGUUAAUUUUAACAUUGACCGUUAGUUGACUGUGCAAAGAUAAUAUUACCCUUAAUAACAGUUUGUAGACGGAUAUAACUAAAAAAAAACUAAAAUUGUUGGUUAUUUUACCCUCUUUAAAUUAUUGAUAUUUCCUUAAAGUUCCUACAAGAAAGAUAAAAUUAAAAACUUGAAAAAUCCUCUUUAAAUUAUUGAUAUUUCCUUAAAGUUCCUACAAGAAAGAUAAAAUUAAAAACUUGAAAAUGAAAUAGUCAUAAUCUUUACCUAUGAUAUUAUAAAUCUUUGAAAUUGACAAGGAUAAAAUUGUCAAAAAAUAGGAUUUGUGCUUUUCGUGCCAACAAUUUUAGUUUUUUUUUUAGUUAUGUCAGUCUACAAACUGUUGUUAAGGGCAAUAUUGUCUUUGCACAGUCAACUAACGGUUAAUGUUAAAAUUAACUGACGGUAGGGGAAUUUUUUAUAAAUAAACAAAUUCUCGCCAUCUACUUGCAACAAGCUCAAACCUCAGGGGAGAUUUUUAAAAAUUACCCAAUAUGCAUCACCAUGUUGUGUAACGUUAAUAAUAUAUAGCUCCAUAGCUAGAGUGAUUGGCAAAACUAAAUGCAAAUUCGUAAAAAUUAUAUCAUAUACAUUAGAGUGGGACUAAUCUUUUUAAAUUUUCUAUUAGAUAUUUUUUAAAUUUGAAAUUUCAGGAAUGUAGUACUUAAUUAAAAAAUAGUAUUAUAAUUUUUUAAAACUAAUGAUAUAGACGAACGAUAUUUUAAUUUACGUGUAUAAGUAAAGAUAUUUAUGAUAUUGUAUUUAUACCUACGAUAAGAUUUAACUUGCUUAACAUGCACAAGCACUACUUUGUUCGUCUAUUUUUCAAUUAAAUUUGUACCAUCCUAACAUAUGUAAAAUUAAUUUUUUUUAUUAAACUAAUGUGCACUUAGUUUGAAUUUCAAAUUAUUGUGCACCACAUUACAUAUUACCGCUAGGUGAACUAAUUGGACAAAAUAUUUUAUCAUAAAUUUGAUACCGACAAAAAGCAACAACAACACCUCCGAUAUCACACGGCACAAAAGAAUUUUCACGUUUUUUUAAUAUAAUGCCAACUAGUUUUUUAUUGGAUGCUAUGAAGAUUGAUUUUAACAUGAUUAUGGUUCUUCUUUAAAAAAAUAUGUUAUGCAUAUUUCUAAGAUCAUGUUUGCAAUAUUAUAGAAUCACUA
rnacentral:lncRNA from 1 species